GAUGAACGCUAGCUACAGGCUUAACACAUGCAAGUCGAGGGGUAACGAGAGGAAAGCUUGCUUUCCUUGUCGACGACCGGCGCACGGGUGAGUAACGCGUAUCCAACCUGCCCCCAACUAGGGAAUAACCUUGCGAAAGUAAGACUAAUACCCUAUAAUUUCCUCAGAUGUCAUCUGACGAGGAAUAAAGAUUUAUCGGUUGUGUAUGGGGAUGCGUCUGAUUAGCUUGUUGGCGGGGUAACGGCACACCAAGGCAACGAUCAGUAGGGGUUCUGAGAGGAAGGUCCCCCACAUUGGAACUGAGACACGGUCCAAACUCCUACGGGAGGCAGCAGUGAGGAAUAUUGGUCAAUGGGCGGAAGCCUGAACCAGCCAAGUAGCGUGCAGGAUGACGGCCCUAUGGGUUGUAAACUGCUUUUAUACAGGAAUAAAGUUAGCCACGUGUGGUUAUUUGUAGGUACUGUCUGAAUAAGGACCGGCUAAUUCCGUGCCAGCCGCCGCCGUAA
rnacentral:rRNA from 1 species